UAUGUUUUAGACAUAUAAACUGAAUUGGAAGCAUGUUAUUAAUUGUUAUUAAUCAUACAUGUGGGACUUGGAUAAAACAUAGGAGAAAACCAGCGUUCGGGACCUGGCAUAUGUUAAACUACCUAAUUUAGCCCUAGGGGCCAUUGUAUUUUUAUACAGUUGCAGUAUCCUCUUAGUGAGUGUGUCAGGUAGUUCAGAUUUCAGUUACGCUCGUGUUCGGAUGCCGAGCCGAUUUUUACAGUAGUGUUUAGACUGUUCCGGACUAGUGGGUGCGGUCGCGGUUGACGGUGGACCCGGAUUUGGUCAUUUUGAGAUCCGAUUGUGCCGAGGGCACGUGACUAGUGGUUAGUAGUACUGUUAGACCCGUUUUCUUGACUUUAGCCUGUGAGAGCCUGAUUGAGCUCGACAGAGAUACGCUUGCAUAAUCGGUUGGAUCGCGCCUACGAGUGCCGCACCGAAGUCUGGCUUGGUGCUUUCGCGUUGAUGUCGCUGAUUAGUUUUGCUAUCCACGGAUUGUUUAGCGUGGAGGUAGCGCGGCUUAGACAGGCGGGACGGGUGCGUACACAAUCCCUAUUGAGAUUGGGUCAGAAUUGAUAAUAGACACAGUUGAAUAGUGUAGUGGCAUGUAACUGUAGAUUUCUUGGCAUGUAACUAGAGAUUUCUUUUCAGCUUUUGUAACGACCCAGCCCACUAGCAACAAUAACUCAUUGGGCCCAACCACCAGCCCAAAAUGCUUAAGCCCAGUUAUUAUUACUAGUGUCUAAGUCUCAUAUAAAUCCAAUGACAACCCAUUCCCAUCCGAUGUGGGACUAUUGGGGUGUCACAGACUCCCCCCGUUAAGGCCCUGACGUCCUCGUCAGUCCUAACACACACAGCCCAAGAUCACCAGGCUAUGUGAGACUCGUCUCGCUAGCCCGUCAUCCAGACCCUGGCUCAGCCGAGACUCGCCACACAUGUCCAGCUGGUGAACCGGCUCUGAUACCAAAUGUAACGACCCAGCCCACUAGCAACAAUAACUCGUUGGGCCCAACCACCGGCCCAAAAUGCUUAAGCCCAGUUAUUAUUACUAGUGUCUAAGUCUCUUAUAAACCCAAUGACAACCCCAUUCCCAUCCGAUGUGGGACUAUUGGGGUGUCACAGACUCCCCCCGUUAAGGCCCUGACGUCCUCGUCAGUCCUUACACACACAGCCCAAGAUCACCAGGCUAUGUGAGACUCGUCUCGCUAGCCCGUCAUCCAGACCCUGGCUCAGCCGAGACUCGCCACACAUGUCCAGCUGGUGAACCGGCUCUGAUACCAAAUGUAACGACCCAGCCCACUAGCAACAAUAACUCGUUGGGCCCAACCACCAGCCCAAAAUGCUUAAGCCCAGUUAUUAUUACUAGUGUCUAAGUCUCAUAUAAAUCCAAUGACAACCCAUUCCCAUCCGAUGUGGGACUAUUGGGGUGUCACAGCUUUACCUACUAAUUUCGUUUCCUACUGUAGUCUUAGUAAGGAGCCGAUGAUUUGAGGGCGGUACCCACUGAGGACUACUUAUUUUUACAGUAGUUCUCACGCCCAGUUGUUACUUUGUGUUUUGCAGAGCCAGCUGUUCCGGCUACUGCGUCUUCCGAGGCUGAUCAAGGCAAGGGCGUCGCGAGUUAGAGCCCUACCCGAUUAGUUGUUAAGAUAGAGGAUCCACCACUGCAGGUAGUUCCGGUUUAUUUUGUUGAGUUCAUGUACAUGCAGUUGUUAUAACUCUCUAGAGCGAGUACCUUUGUAUAGCGUUUUAUUGUAUGUAUGUGAGAUUUGUUUUAUUCUACCUGUUUGGUUUCUUUGCAGCUCUAUACUACUGGUUGUAGUAUUGUAUAUUUUCAGUUAUCGAUACGCUUCGUAUACAGGAAAAAUUCUUGGUAUAUGGCGGAUUUGUCGACGUGCCCGGGAAUUGUGUAAUCCGGGCCGUGACAGAUUAAGUUGGUAUCAGAGCUUAGCAUUAGGUCGUUGGGACCUAGAAAAUCUAAGUUUGGCAAACCUUAGGAAGGCAAGCCGCGAGAGGCAUAAUUUAUUGCAAAAGUCAAUGAUUAAUUGUUUUAACUCAUCCUGAGGGGAGUGAGUGACUGGAGGAGUGCCUGUAUUGGCCUGCAAAAUUAUGUUGACUGCAGACGACAUAAUUUUGCGGAAAGAUAGGUGCCGCCUUCCGGACUUUCGUUGAUUAGGUUGAGAGUAUUUGUGUUAUCUGAACCUGUUCUAUUUUUGCAGCUAUGUAUCAUCGCCGAGGCCGACCAUCGACACGGGACCGGGCACAGUUGACACAGGAUCGUGUGGGACCCUCCGAGAUGCCUAAGCAGGCAGAGCCGAGUGCCCGGCAGGAGCAGAGUACACGACCAGAGGCGAGCGCAUUCCUCGACUUGAGUACUCAGUUGGCCACUCUGACAGAGGUGACGAGGCGGCAAGGGGAGUUGUUGGAGAGGUUGUGUGAGAGGGUCACCCCGACACAGAGUACCGUACCAGAGCAGAUUGUUCCACCUCCGACUGCUCUAACAGCAGCACCAGCUACAGUAGUACCACCACCAGUGACCGUUCCUUUAGAGCCAGUUGCGCCCGUUGGCGAGGCAUCGCAGAUGACUGAGGCUGAGCAGAAGUGGAUGGCUGAGAGACUCGCUCGCUUUCAUCGUUUCGAUCCGCCGACUUUUGAUGGCUGAUGUACAGAGGCUUGGGUCGUUGAGGACUGGGUCAGCUCGAUGGAGAAGUUAUUUGAGGAUCUUUUCAUUCCUGAGCGGGAGCAGGUACAUCUGGGAGUGCAUUGCUUGACAGGGGAUGCCCUUGCUUGGUGGCGGAGAGUGAGGAGAGAUUACGGACUGGUGACUUUGCAGAUCAGAUGGGACGAGUUCUGUGGAAUGCUGUAUGGGAUGUACUUUCCCAAUAGUGUGAAAUAAAAACUCGAGGAAGACCUGAAGAGGAUCCAGCAAGGAGACCGGGCAGUCCAGGAGUACAUUCGGGAGUUCACGCGACUCCUGAACUAUGUGCCGUUUGUGGCUAGAGACGAGGCACACAGGGUGUACCUUUCCGAGCAGGGUUUGAGGCCCGAGAUUUUUCGGUUGGUUCAGGCGCAGAGGUUGAGGACCUUGGACGCGUCGAUAGAGCAGGCACUUUGGGUUAAGCGAGGUGAUACAUCUAUUCGGGAGAGGACUCAGGCAGCGGGGCAGAGUCAGGAUAGGAAGCGCCCAGCUCCAGACGAUGGUGGACAGUCGAGCAGCCGGCGUCCGCCGAGACCUCCACGAUCGCGUUCUCAGGGUCAUGGGUUCUCGGGACGUCAGCGUUCUGGGGGAUCUCGACAGCAGAGACAGUCACAGGGGUUACCACCGUGCGUGAUAUGUGGGGGACCACACUGGGCCCGGCAGUGCGAGCAGCGUGAGGGUCGGUGUUUUGGAUGUGGACAGCCAGGGCACAUGAGGUCAGCUUGUCCCCGAGCAGUAUCACCAGCACCAUUGACUGCUUCAGCCUCAUCAGCACCUUAGUAGUCUUUUGGAGCAGCACCGAGUUUCCGCCAGGAGGAUAGAUCGUUUAUACCGCGUCAGGGUGAGCGGCGACAGCAGGAUCCGAGUCGCAGGGUCUAUGCAGCCCAGGUGGAGGACUCUACAGCGGCUGAUCGAGUGGUGGCAGGUAUCACUUUGAUUUCUGGCAUUAGAGUUCGUACUCUUUUUGAUACCGGAGCAUCUCAUUCUUUUGUUAGCCGAGCAUUCGCAUUGUUGUAUGGUCUAGAGUUAGGAGCAUUGUCACAGGCACAAGAGGUGCAGAUCCCCGACCAUGUCUUACAAGUUACAGAGUGUUUUUGGUCAUGUCUGGUGCAGUUGGAUUCUUGGAUCAUGCCCGCAGACCUGUUGGUGUUAGGGCAGCUGCAGGACUUUGACGUAGUGCUCGGUAUGGAUUGGCUGGCGCGGUACUAUGCUACUAUUGACUGUGGAACGAGGACUGUGACGUUCCGUGAGCCAGGCCAGGAGGAGUUUACUUUUAGGGGCUGCAGGAGCAUGUUGUUUGCUACUUGGAUAUCUUCGGCGAGGGCUCGACAGAUGCUGAGUAGUGGAUGUAUUGCUUUUCUAGCGACGGUUGUGGAGGUGCCUACGGCAGUGCCGGGACUCGAGGAUAUCCCUGUAGUCCGCGAGUUUUCGGAUGUGUUUCCCCCUGAGUUGACUACGAUGCCGCCAGAGAGGGAGAUUGAGUUUGUGAUUGAUGUAGUUCCUGAAACUACACCAAUCUCAAAGGUACCUUAUCGGAUGGCACCGGCUGAGCUGAGAGAGCUAAAGGUGCAGCUUCAGGAUCUGAUGGAUAAGGGGUAUGUGAGACCCAGUGUGUCACCUUGGGGAGCGCCGAUAUUAUUUAUAAAGAAGAAUGAUGGUUCGCUCAGAUUAUGUGUGGACUACCGGGAGCUGAAUAAAGUAACCAUCAAGAAUAAGUAUCCACUGCCGCGCAUUGAUGAUUUGUUUGAUCAGUUGCAGGGAUCCUUCGUCUUCUCGAAGAUUGAUCUCCAGUCAGGUUUCCACCAGUUGAGGGUGAGGGCCGAGGAUGUUCCUAAGACGGCUUUUCGGACUCGGUACGGGCAUUAUGAAUUCACAGUGAUACCUUUUGGAUUGACAAAUGUCCCUGCCGCAUUCGUGGAUUUGAUGAACAGAGUGUUCAAGCUGUUCUUGGACAGGUUUGUGGUAGUUUUCAUUGAUGAUAUCUUGAUAUACUCCCGGAGCGACGCUGAGUAUGAUGAACACUUGAGGAUUGUGCUAUAGCUUCUGGGAGAGAAGAAACUGUAUGCCAAGUUAAAGAAGUGCGAGUUCUGGUUACGGGAGGUCGCUUUCUUGGGCCACGUGAUAUCAGCAGAGGGAGUAGCAGUUGACCCGAAGAAGAUUGAUGCGAUUCGGGAUUGGCCUAGACCGACGGCGAUGACAGAGGUGAGGAGUUUCCUUGGACUAGCAGGAUAUUACCGUCGGUUUGUGGAAGGCUUUGCGAAGCUGUCCACACCCCUUACCAGGUUGACUCGGAAGCGGAUUCGGUUUAUUUGGAGUGAGGAUUGCCAGAAGAGCUUUAACGAGUUGAGACAGAGACUGAUGACAGCUCCUAUCCUUGCCCUUCCUGUGAUGGGGGAAGGAUUUGUGAUCUAUAGUGAUACAUCGCACAACGGACUGGGUUGUGUACUGAUGCAGCAUGGUAGGGUGAUUGCUUAUUCUUCACGGCAGUUAAAGGAAUAUGAGAAGAAUUACCCUACGCAUGACUUGGAGCUUGCCGCGGUAGUCUUUACUUUGAAGCUGUGGCGGCAUUAUUUACGGCGAGCACUGCGAGGUUUUCAUCGAUCAUAAAAGUCUCAAGUAUCUGUUCACUCAAAAAAAAUUGAAUCUGAGGCAGCGCCGGUGGCUAGAGCUACUGAAGGACUAUGACAUUAGUAUCCAGUAUCAUCCCGGCAGGGCGAAUGUAGUGGCAGAUGCGUUGAGCAGGAGGGCAGCGCAGAGCUUGAGCUUGUUGAUCACUCAGCAGAGACCGCUACUUCAGGAGCUACAGCGGCUGAGACUUGAGGUGGUGUCCCCUGGGUCUACUGCAAGACUGAUGUCUCUAGUCUUCCAGCCCACUCUGUUGGAUAGGAUCCGGGAGAAACAGAGUGGAGAUCCGCAUUUGUUGAGGAUUCGAGAGCAGCUAGUUAGGGGACAAGCCGAGGGUUUUGCUUUGGACAGUUCGGGAGUACUGCGAUACAGGGAUCGACUGUGUGUGCCUGUGGAUUCAGUGAUCCGAGAGGACAUCUUGAGGGAGACUCAUUGUACACCUUAUACGGUUCAUCCAGGUGGAACCAAGAUGUAUAAGGACUUAAAGGCACAGUUUUGGUGGAAUGGAAUGAAGAGGGACAUUGGCAGGUAUGUCACUCAUUGUUUGACUUGCCAACAGGUAAAGGCCGAGCAUCAGAUACCUGCUGGCAAGCUUCAGAGUCUGUCAGUGCUAGAGUGGAAGUGGGAACAAAUCACGAUGGAUUUUGUUGUGGGGUUGCCUAGAGCACAGGGUGGCUUCGAUGCGAUUUGGAUGAUAGUGGACAGACUGAUCAAGUCUGCUCACUUCCUACCAGUUCAGACCACCUGGUCCAAAGAGAGACUCGCGCAGCUUUACUUGGAUGAGAUCGUCAGGCUACAUGGUGUGCCAGUAUCGAUUGUACAGAUCGAGACCCGAGAUUUGUGUCGCAUUUCUGGAGGAGUUUACAGACAGCUUUGGGGACUCAAUUACAUUUCAGCACAGCAUUCCACCCACAAACGGAUGGUCAGUCGGAGCGGACCAUUCAGACUCUAGAGGACAUGCUGAGGACGUGUGUCCUGGACUUCGGAGGAGGGUGGUAUCGACACUUGAGACUGGCAGAGUUUGCGUAUAACAACAGCUAUCAAACGAGCAUUCAGAUGGUUCUGUUUGAGGCGUUGUAUGGACGCAGGUGUCGAUCCCCGUUGUUUUGGAGUGACGUGGGUGAGAGGAGGACACUUGGGCCUGAGAUUUCGCUAGAGGCUGAGGAAAAGGUGAGAGUUGUUCGACGACACUUUUUGACAGCCCAGAGCCGCCAGAGGAGCUACGCUGAUACCAGAAGACGAGACUUGGAGUUCCAGGUUGGAGAUCAUAUUUUUCUUAAAGUCUCACCGUAACAUACCACAUCCCUCGUAAAUCGUGCCGAGUUCCGUCAAAACGAGCGGAACGCGAAAUUAAACGAGUUAGAAUGGACCCUAAGUGCAUUAGAGUUCAUAAACGGAGCUAAAAGGGACCCGGAGAGCAAAUCUGAAAAUCUGGCUAAGUUUCAGAUUUUGAGCUCUCGGGGACCGGUUCCUGAAGGAGAGACCGGUCCCCGUGCGCGUAGCCUGCCAGGAAGUCCUGAGGCAUCCGGUCCCUGGUGGUGAGACCGGUCCUCAGGAGAUCGGUCCCUGACGGGCAGACCGGUCCCUCGCUGCGCAACAGCUGAAAAACUCGAAAAUUUGGCUAAGUCCUGGAAAACCCCCGUUCGGGAACCGGUCCCUGGUCGGGGAGACCGGUCCCCGAAGGCGAAAAAUGCCCAGUCUGGGCAAAUCAGGGGAAACAAGUGGAGGGGCUUAAGUGCAAUUGUUACAACACUAUAUAUGGCCCAUUCUCUCUCUCCCACGGCCAUUUUCACCCUUCUCACCCAUUUCCUCUCUUUCUCUCUCUAGAACUCUUGCUCUAGGGCUUGGAGAAGAAGAAGAAGAAGUGAAGGGAAGGAGGAUUUGGAGGCUUUUGUGGGUUCUACAAGCUCUCCUACAAGAAGGACUUGGAGGAGUUUGGGCUAAGGUGAGUUUUUGGUAGAAAUGAGUCUAGGGCUUGGUUUUAAUCCCUAUGUUUUGGAGCUUUGGGUUGUUUUUGGCCAUGGGAGCCUUCUAUAUGCUUUGAACUCCAUAGAACCCAUGAGAGCUUAAGUGCUCUCAUGGUGGUUGGGUAGGGUUUGCCAUAGAAGCCCUAGGGUUGGUUCCAAAGGUCUAGAAACCUUGCUAGGAUACUUCUUAGAUGAUUCUAAGCUAUUGUUUGCUUAAGAUUGGGAUCAAUUUAUGGGGAAACCCUAAAUGGCAAUAUUAGGGCUUGAAAAUUGGGGCUUUUGCCCUAGGAUCUUUCGGGGCCAAAUUGACCCCGUGAAAACCUAAUUGGGGGUGCCCUAAACACGUUGGACACCUCCGUUUAAUGUUGCGAAAAUGAUAGAGUAUAGUUCAUGUACAAAAAGGCCUAAUAUGGCACUAUUUUGAUUAUAGGACGCGGAAUCGGCUUUCGUAAAGUGCGGGAGCCUUCAUAUUCUACACCCACACGACCAAUAGAGGUUGGGGGUGCAUGCCGGAAUCGUUGGAUUCCCUUCUAUGUCUAUUUUCUCUAUUCUUGAGCAUAUACACAUAUACCCAUUCAUGCAUAGUAGGGUAGAUACAUAUGGAACUUGAUUUGAUUUCAUUUAUAUAUUUCUAACGUAGUUGAACAUAGAGGAUGAUAGGACCAAAAUGGACAUGUGUGAUUGGACCCUCAAGUUGUGUGAAUGUGAGAUUGGACUUGGACAAUAGAAAACAAGGGUGACAUUGACAUAGAAACAAGAUUUGCAUUGAGAGAUGAACCGUUAAACAUUGUUUAACCAAUUAUGACAUCGUCAAAGGUAAAGCCUUGAGAGUGGCAAGAAUGAAUAGGUAGAGACCUAUCGUGACAUUGGCAUUGUGACUAGUGGCUAUGGAUCCUCAAGUUGAGGAUUAGAUCGAUACUCACAUUUCGCCUUGGCUUGAGGGAGGUCGCUCCCCCUCGAGCGGUGCGCUCCGGAGUUGGUCACCACUAGGCGUGGUAAAGUCCCACCAGUUGACGGUCCCUAGGGAGGUUCGAGUCCCCCGUUAUUAAGGGAUUUUGGGUUGUGAGUUAUUGGGGUUAACAGAGUUAACCGGCAAGAUUGGGUAAGAGCCAAAGCUUGAUUAUGAUUGGAGCAUGCAUGCAUUUCCACUAUCGCAUUGAAUUAUAUAUCCACUGACUUCUUUCUUGCAGGCAUAGUAUUAGAUGCAUUAGUACUGGUUACUUUCUUUUUCUUGAAAUACUUAUGCCUGGAUAGACCUAGUGGGUAAGUCGGCGAGGUCGGAUGCCGAGCCCACUGGGAACUUUGUUUAGUUCUCACACCACUAACCCUACAGGUCCUAGCACGAGCGGGGCGGCGGAGGACCGAAGCAAGGGUUUGGCGCCGUAGGUAGCGGCCACCGGGACUUUAUGCAUUUCGUAGUCAUUCCCUUUUGAUAUACAUGUGUAAACUUUAUUCUGUUGUUUAGUGAUGUAAAGUGUAAACAAUCAUGUAUUUGGUGGAUGACAAAAUGUAAAAGAUAUAAUGGAUGAAUGGAAUGUAAUAGCUUUGUUUACUUGUAUUUGAUUUAAAUGAAAUCAAAUAUCAUGUAUGCUGCGUAUUUAGCUUAGAGCUUUCGCUUUCGUUGUUGCUUGCCCUCGUGCAAGCCUUGUAUUAUAUAUGCAAUUCUCUUGUUGAUUGCCUAUUUGUACAUGUUGAUAGAGCCUUAGGCGGACAGGGGCGGCUCUGUCCGUUCGGCGUCUGUUGACGCGACCCGAAUCCGACCAAAUUGGCGGUGAUUGGGGCGUGACACUCGCCGUCCAGAGGGAUUCGCCAAUUUGGAAUGCGUGGAAAGUUCAGUCCACGUUUCGUUGGCCCUUUUGAGAUAUUGGAGCGAGUUGGACCAGUUGCUUACCGGAUUGCUCUACCACCCCGACUAGCUGGGAUUCAUGAUGUGUUCCACAUCUCGGUGUUGAGCAAAUAUAUUUUUGAUCCUUCUCACGUGAUCGACUUCACUCCACUAGAGAUUAACGAGGAUCUAAGAUACGAGGAGCGACCGGGGCGGAUUCUUGCUCGCGAGACGAAAGAAUUGCGCAACCGGGUCAUCCCGUAUGUAAAAGUGCAGUGGAGCAAUCACGAGGAACGGGAGGCGACUUGGGAGCCAGAGACGGUGAUGAGGGAGUCUUACCCUGACCUGUUCGUUGCCCCGUCUUGAGGUAUAUUUUAAGUUUCGAGGACGAAACUUUUUGUAGUGGUGGAGAAUGUAGUAUCCUUAUAUAUAUAUAUAUAUAUAUAUAUGAAUGCCACAUGCCCAUGCAUGCAUUUCAUGGUUAUCUAUUUAGAGUGUUGUACAUGCCUCCUUAAUUAAAAUUUCCUCCAUCUCUGUCUCUGGAACCAUACGCAAGGAGGAGGAAAACCCGGUUGGAGCUCGUGUGUCGCCGACGUUGCGCCGCGGUACCGUAUGAGCGUGAGUUCGUCGUCGUAACAUCGUGAGAAGGCCGGGCGAGGGUGCGUUUACGUCGUUUUCGACGUCGCGCCGGAUUGGGUUUUGCGUUUUUGGUGGGUUUUAUCAUCGGAAUCCUACUCCUAUAGUAUUGUUGGUCGACAUGUAUCAUUAAUAUUACAAGUUGUUAUUGUUUAGCUCAAAUUCAUGAGUAGGUAUGUUUUAGACAUAUAAACUGAAUUGGGAGCAUGUUAUUAGUUGUUAUUAAUCAUACAUGUGGGACUUGGAUAAAACAUAGGAGAAAACUAGCGUUCAGGACCUGGCAUAUGUUAAACUACCUGAUUUAGCCCUAGGGGCCGUUGUAUUUUUAUACAGUUGCAGUAUCCUCUUAGUGAGUGUGUCAGGUAGUUCAGAUUUCAGUUAUGCUCGUGCUGGGAUGCCGAGCCGAUUUUUACAGUAGUGUUUAGACUGUUCCGGACUAGUGGGUGCCGUCGCGAUUGACGAUGGACCCGGAUUUGGUCAUUUUGAGAUCCGAUUGUGCCGAGGGCACGUGACUAGUAGUUAGUAGUACUGUUGAUCCGUUUUCUUGACUUUAGCCUGUGAGAGCCAGAUUGAGCUCGACAGAGAUACGCUUGCAUACUCGGUUGGGUCGCGCCCAAGAGUGCCGCUCCGGAGUCUGGCUUGGUGCUUUCGCGUUGAUGUCGCUGAUUAGUUUUGUUAUCCACGGAUUGUUUAGCGUGGAGGUAGCGCGGCUUAGACAGGCGGGACGGGUGCGUACACAGUCCCUAUUGAGAUUGGGUCAGAAUUGAUAAUAGACACAGUUGAAUAGUGUAGUGGCAUGUAACUGUAGAUUUCUUUUCAGCUUUACCUACUAAUUUCGUUUCCUACUAUAGUCUUAGUGGGGGAGCCGAUGAUUU
rnacentral:lncRNA from 1 species